GAUGAAGAACGUAGCGAAAUGCGAUAAGUAAUGUGAAUUGCAGAAUUCAGUGAAUCAUCGAGUCUUUGAACGCACAUUGCGCCCCCUGGUAUUCCGGGGGGCAUGUCUGUCCGAGCGUCAUUGCCGCCCUCAAGCACGGCUUGUGUGUUGGGCCCCCGCCCCCCGGCUUCGGGGGGCGGGCCCGAAAGGCAGCGGCGGCACCGCGUCCGGUCCUCGAGCGUAUGGGGCUUCGUCACCCGCUCUGUAGGCCCGGCCGGCGCCCGCCGGCGACCCCAAUCAAUCUUUCCAGGUUGACCUCGGAUCAGGUAGGGAUACCCGCUGAACUUAAGCAUAUCAAUAAGCGGAGGA
rnacentral:misc_RNA from 1 species